UACAGAGGGUGCGAGCGCUAAUCGGAAUUACUGGGCGUAAAGCGUGCGCAGGCGGUUCUAUAAGACAGAUGUGAAAUCCCCGGGCUCAACCUGGGAACUGCAUUUGUGACUGUAGAGCUGGAGUGCGGCAGAGGGGGAUGGAAUUCCGCGUGUAGCAGUGAAAUGCGUAGAUAUGCGGAGGACCACCGAUGGCGAAGGCAAUCCCCUGGGCCUGCACUGACGCUCAUGCACGAAAGCGUGGGGAGCAAACAGG
rnacentral:rRNA from 1 species